rnacentral:rRNA from 1 species
CGGGGGGCAGCAGUAAGGAAUAUUGGUCAAUGGACGCAAGUCUGAACCAGCCAUGCCGCGUGAAGGAAGACGGCCCUACGGGUUGUAAACUUCUUUUGUACAGGAAAAAACCACCGGUCGUGUAUCGGUGCUGAUGGUACUGUAAGAAUAAGGAUCGGCUAACUCCGUGCCAGCAGCCGCGGUAAUACGGAGGAUCCAAGCGUUAUCCGGAUUCAUUGGGUUUAAAGGGUGCGCAGGCGGAAUGAUAAGUCAGUGGUGAAAUCCUACAGCUCAACUGUAGAACUGCCAUUGAUACUGUCGUUCUUGAGUACACUUGGAGUGGGCGGAAUGUGUCAUGUAGCGGUGAAAUGCUUAGAUAUGACACAGAACACCGAUCGCGAAGGCAGCUCACUAAGUUGUAACUGACGCUCAGGCACGAAAGCGUGGGGAUCAAACAGGAUUAGAUACCCGAGU